UACGGAAUGUGUAAACGUUAUUCGGAAUCACUGGGCUUAAAGAGUCCGUAGGCGGCAUGUUAGGUGAGGUGUGAAAUCCCCCGGCUCAACCGAGGAAUUGCGCUUCAAACCGGCGUGCUAGAGGAAGAUAGAGGUGGGCGGAAUUGAUGGUGGAGCGGUGAAAUGCGUUGAUAUCAUCAGGAACACCGGAGGCGAAAGCGGCCCACUGGGUCUUUUCUGACGCUGAGGGACGAAAGCUAGGGGAGCGAACGGG
rnacentral:rRNA from 1 species